CCUACGGGGGGCAGCAGUGGGGAAUAUUGGGCAAUGGACGCAAGCCUGACCCAGCAACGCCGCGUGAAGGAAGAAGGCUUUCGGGUUGUAAACUUCUUUUAAGGGGGAAGAGCAGAAGACGGUACCCCUUGAAUAAGCCACGGCUAAUUACGUGCCAGCAGCUGCGGUAAUACGUAGGUGGCAAGCGUUGUCCGGAUUUACUGGGUGUAAAGGGCGUGCAGCCGGAGAGACAAGUCAGAUGUGAAAUCCACGGGCUCAACCCGUGAACUGCAUUUGAAACUGUUUCCCUUGAGUGUCGGAGAGGUAAUCGGAAUUCCUUGUGUAGCGGUGAAAUGCGUAGAUAUAAGGAAGAACACCAGUGGCGAAGGCGGAUUACUGGACGAUAACUGACGGUGAGGCUCGAAAGCGUGGGGAGCAAACAGGAUUAGAUACCCGUGUAGUC
rnacentral:rRNA from 1 species